GACUGCAAGAAGAUCAAACCUAUCCAUUCUGAAGGAAAUCAGCCCUGAGUGCUCACUGGAAGGACAGAUCGUGAAGCUGAAGCUCCAGUACUUUGGCCACCUCAUGAGAAGAGAAGACUCCCUGGAAAAGACCCUGAUGUUGGGAAAGAUGGAGGGCACAAGGAGAAGGGGACGACAGAGGACGAGAUGGUUGGACAGUGUUCUUGAAGCUACCAGCAUGAGUUUGACCAAACUGCGGGAGGCAGUGGAAGACAGGAGUGCCUGGCGUGCUCUGGUCCAUGGGGCCACGAAGAGUCAGACAUGACUAAACAACUAAACAACAACAACAAAAGUUAUAAAAUCUCUGUACCAGCUCUAUUAAUCCACAUAGAUGGGCAGGAAUAAAUGAGAGCAUAAGAACAUAAGAAGAACUUGCUGGACCAUUCCAAAGGUACAUCUAGUUCAGCAUCCUGUAGAAAGCUUGAGGAAGGUGUUGACCCCAUGUGCCGCAGCCCUGAAAAAGGCAAAUUCGAUGCUAAGGAUCAUCAGCAAAGGAAUUGAAAAUAAAACUGCCAAUAUCAUGAUGGCAUUAUAAAAACCGAUGGUGUGACCACAUGUGGAGUAGUGUGUAGAGUUCUGGUCUCCUCACCUCAAACAUGAUAUUGUAGAGUUGGAAAAGGUUCAGAAAAAGGCCACCAAAAUGAUAAAGCGGUGUCAAGCUGCUGCCAGCAACUCCCAUGGCUGGUUGCCAAGGAAUGUACAAAGACAAGGAAUGUUCUUAUCAUCCGCUUUUUAUUCAGUAUUUAUAGAGAGAGGCUAUAGAUCCCAGCCUCUUGGAUAACGGCAUUGUCCCGAAUGAAUCUCCACCUCCCUGUCUCUCCCACUUCCUCAUUCGUCAUCCUCAUCACCUCCUCUAUGGGUGCUGAGAAGUGCCCUCUGUCUUUGAGCUCUUUGCUCUCCUACUUUCAAGGCUCACCGGGUUGUGAGAGAUGGAGGGUCUGGACACUGUGUCUGUCAGCUGUCACCUGUCAGCUGGUUGGUUUGGAUCGGAAGACUGGGGAAUGCAAUCGCAGGGAGAUCAGCUCCCAACAGAAGAGGAGGGAAAAUAUUCACUUGCCCCCCCCCCAAGCCCAGCGUUUCCAGAAGCAGAGAGAAGGCAAACACAGAAGCUGCACAGUUGAGAGAGGAGCCGCCCAGCUUUGAUACAGUAGCUAAGCAACCAGAAGGGAGGGAACAGUCGGGCGACACAUCAAUCAAGAGUGGGGGAAUCCCUUCCCUCCCCCCAAACUCAGAGGUCCAAGCGUGUCAGAGAGUGAAGGAUACACGGGGAGUAGGGACUUCCCAUAGGUGUGCUUCUUGCUGCAGAAAUAAAGAGGAGUAAGAUAUCCUUGCAUAAUGCUGAAAUAAAAGGACUAUAAAUCUACCAAAUAAAAAUAAAAAUAAUUUAUUUGUACCCUGCCCAUCUGGCUGCGGUUCCCCAGCCACUCUGGGCAGCUUCCAACAAAGAUUAAAAAUACAUCAAAAUGUCACACACUAAAAACUUCCCUGAACAGGGCUGCCUUCAGAUGUCUUCUAAAUGUCAGGUAGUUGUUUAUCUCUUUGACAUCUGAUGGGAGGGCGUUCCACAGGGCAGGUGCCACUACCGAGAAGGCCCUCUGCCUGGUUCCCUGUAGCUUUGUUUCUCACAGUGAGGGAACCGCCAGAAGGCCCUCGGCACUGGACCUCAGUGUCCGAGCAGAAUGAUGGGGGUGGAGAGGAGGGUUGUAAAGCAAAUGUUUAUCACUACUUAGACCUGCUUAAUAAUGUGAGCCAGACAAAGAUAUCCCACUCUUCAUUGCUUUUUAAACCCUUUUCUUUUUGUUAAGACCUGUGUCGCUCUUUGUGAUGCAGAUCUCUCGGUGCAGCUUUCUGAAAGUUGCACUUCCUGAUGUGCCUUGGGAGCGAUGCUGCACAACACCACAUCAUCCUCAAGUUGCUCUGGUCCACAAAUAUUCCAUAAGAUUUAUUUAUUUUUGGCAGCAUACCAAAUGAUACCACAUUGACCGAGAGCCAUAAACAUUUUACAUACUUUGCUGAGCGAUUUGCAGGAUAAUUUUAAAGCUUAACAUAACAUUUUCCUGUGAUUUUUAUUGGCGCUUAUGAGCAAUCUCAAGACUCAUAAAAAGAAGGGAGCUACUAUCAUUGAUCUCAGAUGUAUGAAUGAAGACUCUGCACUUGGGGUUCUUGUGGGGGGGGGGAAUUAUACCAUUGCAAUCGGUUUGAAUAUCUUGGGCUGAGUGAAGAAUACACCCAAUUUCAAUCAGAAUGCACAAAUGAUUAUAGAAGCACUAGUUCUCUGUGUCCUAAGUGAUAGUUAUGAAACUACUUCAUUUUGGGUAAGUCUAUCUAAUAUAUCUAAAGGUCCGUAUAGUUAAAGCUAUAGUUUUCCCAGUAGUGAUGUAUGGAAGUGAGAGCUGGACCAUAAAGAAGGCUGAUCGCUGGAGAAUUGAUGCUUUUGAAUUAUGGUGCUGGAGGAGACUCUUGAGAGUCCCAUGUACUGCAAGAAGAUCAAACCUAUCCAUUCUGAAGGAAAUCAGCCAUGAGUGCUCACUGGAAGGACAGAUUCUGAAGCUGGGGCUCCAAUACUUUGGCCACCUCAUGAGAAAAGAAGACUCCCUGAAAAAGACCCUGAUGUUGGGAAAGAUGGAGGGCACAAGGAGAAGGGGACAACAGAGGACAAGAUGGUUGGAUAGUGUUCUCGAAGCUACCAGCAUGAGUUUGACCAAACUGCGGGAGGCAGUGGAAGACAGGAGUGCCUGGCGUGCUCUGGUCCAUGGGGUCACGAAGAGUCGGACACGACUAAACGACUAAACAACAACAACAACAACAACAACCUAAUAUAGUUCAGUUUACUCUUUAAUAUAGUUCGGUUUACUCUUUAGUGAUUUAAGUAGAGAUGUUGAUGUCUGAACCUAGCACUUUGAGCAUGCAAGGAAACAGAUUUGAUCCCUAUUAUUUAAAAGAGGGUAUUCUAGCUAAUCAUAUAUUUGUAAAAAGUAAUUUGGCAGUGGCCAACAUUUGACAAACCAUUUGUCUAUAUUCCCCAACCCUUCUAUGUAAAUAAAGAGGGGGGAAACACUGGGUGAAGCAAGAUUUCAUACCCUAAGAUUUCUGUUUAUUUGACAUUUCUUUCUUUUGCAAUACUGCUUUGUUUCAUCACAUGUGAAAGAAAUCUCCUUUGUUGUUUCUGAUACUUCCAACAUGUUGUUGGAAGCAUCUUAGUUUUGCAAUAAGAUGGGAUAAUUUUGGUGAACACAGUAAACGUUUAUGGCUGAUACCAGGAAAAAAUUGUUGGUUUAUAAUGUUUUGAAUGCAAGUAUAAUGCUUAAAAUGGGACGCGGGUGGCGCUGUGGGUUAAACCACAGAGCCUAGUGCUUGCUGAUCAGAAGGUUGGCAGUUCGAAUCCGCGCAACGGGGUGAGCUCCUGUUGCUCGGUCCCUGCUCCUGCCAACCUAGCAGUUUGAAAGCACGUCAAAGUCAAGUAGAUAAAUAGGUACAGCUCUGGAGGGAAGGUAAACGGUGUUUCCGUGUACUGCUCUGGUUCGCAAGAAGCAGCUUAGACAUGCUGGCCACAUGACCCGGAAGCUGUACGCCAGCUCCCUCGGCCAAUAAAGCAAGAUGAGCGCCGCAACCCCAGAGUAGUCUGCGACUGGACCUAAUGGUCAGGGGUCCCUUUACCUUUACCUUUAUAAUGUUUAAUAGUAUGAGUAAGUAAUGUCUUUGAAUUUAUUUAUUUAUUUAUUUAACAAAAUUUAUAUAUUUCUUGAUUGUUAACCUCCCCCCAACUCUAAGCAGUUAAAAAUGUAUGGAACAAUAGAGGCUGUUUAAUACCCAAUACCUCUCCAUAUAUAUUGUUCUUGUUGGUACCUGCCUGUCUCGAGAAACAAUGGAGUGUGCCUCCAGGGGUGAAGUCAACCACUGGAGAAUCGCAGCACCUGCUGUGGCUGCAGAGACAGGUAAUUUGUAACUGCUGUCUCCCAUGUUGUUUUUGCUGCAUUAGCAGCACUGAAGUGACCACUCCAGGGCGUAAGCCUGGGCAGUGUGUAUGUAGGUCCUGGAUUGCCCAGCCAACAAGACUCUCUUCUCAGCCUUGCUGAUGUUGUCCAAAGGAAAGCAGAGCAAUACGUUAGACAUCAGCUUGUCUGCAGCAGUUGCUGGAAGGUAACAUAUAAGGCCCCAUUCAACCAUCUUGCACACACACACACACACACACAAACAAACAUAUAUUUAUAUAUAAUAUUUAUGAUUAUAUCACCUCAUCUGUCUCCUGAGAAAUCUCUACUUGGGACAAGAAGCUACAGUUAGAACUGGAUACGGAACAACUGAUUGGUUCAAAAUUGGGAAAGGAGUACGACAAGGCUGUAUAUUGUCUCCCUGCUUAUUUAACUUAUAUGCAGAAUUCAUCAUUCGAAAGGCUGGGCUGGAUGAAUCCCAAGCCAGAAUUAAGAUUGCCGGAAGAAAUAUCAACAACCUCAGAUAUGCAGAUGACACAACCUUGAUGGCAGAAAGUGAGGAGGAAUUAAAGAACCUUUUAUUGAGGGUGAAAGAGGAGUGUGGAAAAUAUGGUCUGAAGCUCAACAUCAAAAAAAUGAAGAUCACGGCCACUGGGCCCAUCACCUCCUGGCAAAUAGAAGGGGAAGAAAUGGAGGCAGUGAGAGAUUUUACUUUCUUGGGCUCCAUGAUCACUGCAGAUGGUGACAGCAGCCACGAAAUUAAAAGAUGCCUGCUUCUUGGGAGAAAAGCAAUGACAAACCUAGACAGCAUCCUAAAAAGCAGAGACAUCACCUUGCCAACAUGGUUGGACAGUGUUCUCGAAGCUACCAACUUGAGUUUGACCCAACUGUGGGAGGCAGUGGAAGACAGGAGUGCCUGGCGUGCUCAGGUCCAUGGGGUCACGAAGAGUCGGACACGACUAAAUGACUAAACAACAACAAAC